rfam:Schistosoma haematobium scaffold631_6, whole genome shotgun sequence.
AUCCAGCUGACGAGUCUUAAAUAGGACGAAAUGUACGUCUUGGAU